rnacentral:rRNA from 1 species
UACGGGAGGCAGCAGUGGGGAAUAUUGGACAAUGGGGCAACCCUGAUCCAGCCAUGCCGCGUGUGUGAAGAAGGCCUUUUGGUUGUAAAGCACUUUAAGCAGGGAGGAGAGGCUAAUGGUUAAUACCCAUUAGAUUAGACGUUACCUGCAGAAUAAGCGCCGGCUAACUCUGUGCCAGCAGCCGCGGUAAUACAGAGGGUGCGAGCGUUAAUCGGAAUUACUGGGCGUAAAGCGAGUGUAGGUGGCUCAUUAAGUCACAUGUGAAAUCCCCGGGCUUAACCUGGGAACUGCAUGUGAUACUGGUGGUGCUAGAAUAUGUGAGAGGGAAGUAGAAUUCCAGGUGUAGCGGUGAAAUGCGUAGAGAUCUGGAGGAAUACCGAUGGCGAAGGCAGCUUCCUGGCAUAAUAUUGACACUGAGAUUCGAAAGCGUGGGUAGCAAACAGGAAUUAAGAAUAACC